UCAUCUCAGAAGGCCUGGGUAGUUUGCUUUCCCCAGUGCACAGUCACUCUGUAAAUAGCACAGGUCUUCUGAGUAGGGCCUAGAGGGAGACUUACAGUAGGUACUUGCAGCAGGGCUGCAGAGUUCAUUCUUUGGGGGAAAUCCCCCCACACCCUCACACCCCAGUUCAUAAAGGGGCCCUGGGGCUGUGAACUGACUCAGUCCUAAGAGCUAGGGGAGAGGCCGUGACUCUCUGCUGUGGUGAUUCAAAUCAGGUUUCUGGCUACCAGACCCAGAAUUUUUUUCUGUUAUACUUGAGUAGGCAGCCCAACAAUUUUGUUCCUAGAGAUACCAUCAUUCAUUAGCCAUUGCCAAGAAUCCCAGUGGCCAAAGGCAUUCUGAUUACAUCUCUGCCGCCCUUCGUGGUAAAUGUGCCCACCUUAUCUCUGACAAUUAAGUGCUCCCAAUUAUCCGGAGGCACUUCAGGAUCCCAUCACCCCACUGAUACCAGGAAGCUCAUCUCAAUGACAACAUCCUUAGGGUCACACCUGCCUAUGUAGGAAAGCAAGCACAGAGCUUUUAGAGAGGCAGAUGCUCCCCUCACUAUUCUAUUUCUCAAUGUCUUAGUAAAGAAGUGUCUUCUGGGCCUUCUCAUGGUUAGGAAUGGGUGCUUGGUGGUAGACGUGUAAGUCACACAUGAUAAAUCCACUGUGACAUUCCUGUCUCCCUACAUCUUUGGAUUCUCUCCCCCAAAUCAUAGCAGGGAAGCUCUGACAUCUCCACCUCAUCAAAUGUAGGCAAAUGUUGAGUCACCUCCUGCUGCUCAAGCUAAACCAUGAAAUCCAGACUCUCUGGUAAGUGCAUCUAUAUCAAUGAAUUAAACAAAUGGAGUGUGAUAGCCUACCCUGUUGGAUCUAACACUCUUAGAAUCAACUCGACAUGUUUCCCAGGUUUCUUCCAAUAUUUAUUAGCAAAAUCUUACCAUUCUUUUGGUGUGUAAGUGAUUUCCUUCUGAGUUAGUUAUCUGAGUUUUAUGUCCCACUGUAACAUGCUAAGAUUUGACCCUAGUUAUGGAUCCAGUGACAACAGGGGUGACUGUACCAGGUCUGAAGAGUGAGCCGUUUCCAAGGCAUCCUCCCAGAUGAAGUUAUCACAGGGGUGACUGUACCAGGUCUGAAGAGCAACCCUUUCCAAGGCAUCCUCCCAGAUGAAGUUAUCACAGGGGUGACUGUACCAGGUCUGAAGAGCAACCCUUUCCAAGGCACCCUCCCAGAUGAAGUUAUCACAGGGGUGACUGUACCACGUCUGAAGAGUGACCCCUUUCCCAGGCAUCCUCCCAGAUGAAGUUAUCACAGGGGUGACUGUACCAGGUCUGAAGAGCAACCCUUUCCAAGGCACCCUCCCAGAUGAAGUUAUCACAGGGGUGGUGACUGUACCAGGUCUGAAGAGCGAGCAACCCUUUCCCAGGCAUCCUCCCAGAUGAAGUCAUCACAGGGGUGGUGACUGUACCAGGUCUGAAGAGUGACCCCUUUCCCAGGCAUCCUCCCAGAUGAAGUUAUCACAGGGGUGACUGUACCAGGUCUGAAGAGCAAGCAACCCUUUCCAAGGCACCCUCCCAGAUGAAGUUAUCACAGGGGUGACUGUACCAGGUCUGAAGAGCGAGCAACCCUUUCCAAGGCAUCCUCCCAGAUGAAGUUAUCACAGGAUCUUCAGGCAAAGGAAGUGCGGUGUCCUCAGACACAGGAGGGCAGGGUACUUCCGCUGCCAAGGGAGCUUUAAAGUGAUUUGCCAGUUUCAUCCGAAUCUGAGCAGGUGUUCUCAUUCCAAGUUUCAGGGUCCUGUUCUUUCCCUGUGAGUGCUCUAACUUGCAUAUCAGUAACUUGGCAUGACUAUGACAAACUCAUGUGUAAUCCUGACUAAAACACCAGAACAGUGGUGUUGUAUUAACAACCAAUAAUAGAAAAAGGAUUCCCCAUUGUCACUACUACAACCAACAAGUACACUGGACUUUCUAGCUAGACAACAAGCCAUGAAAUGAAAACAGACAUAUAAAUAAUAAAAAGGAUAAUAUAAAAUUGUUAUUUGCAUGCAGUAAGAUUUUCCACCUAGGAAAUCCAAAUGAAUCCACUGAAAAACCAUUAGAGGGUUUAACAAAUCCACAGCAAUACACAAAAGAAAUACCUUUCCACAUACCAUACACUUAGAGACAGAACCAAGAAGGUUUCGCAAUGUUAUCACAGAAAAACCUGGAAACAACCUAAAUCUACUGACAGAAUGGUUCACUAAAUUUCAGUAUAUUCUGAGUGUGAGAUAUAUUCUAUCAAUCAGCUGUACUGCUACAGAAAACAUUAAAAACAAAGUAAAUGUAAGAAGAAAACAACAGGCUCUGGAACACUAUAUAUAGCAUGAUCCAAUUUACUUAAGAAACAAAUACUAGGCCGGGUGCAGUGGCUCAUGCCUGUAAUCCCAGCACUUUGGGAGGCUGAGGCCAGCAGAUCACUUGAGGGCAGGAGUUCAAGACCAGCCUGACCAACAUGGUGAAACCCCAUCUCUACCAAAAAUACAAAAAUUAGCCAGGUGUGGUGGCAGGUGCAUGUAAUCCCAGCUACUCGGGAGGCUGGCAGGAGAAUCACUUGAACCUGGAGGCAGAGGUUGCAGUGAGCCGAGAUCGCGCCAUUGCACUCCAGCCUGGGCAACAGAGCAAGACUCCUCUCAAAAACAAAACAAAACAAAAAACCACCACUGAGAAUAGGUAUGUUUUUAGGUAUAAGUAUGUAUAUGAAAAGAAAUACAUGUGGAAGAAACUUCCCUUCAGAAAGGGGAGUAAUUUAAGAGGGCUUUCACUUUCUUUAACCUAUGUAUUUCUGUCUGAAAUUGUAGCUGGACGUGGUGGUGCACACCUGUAGUCCCAGCUACUCAGGAGGCUGAGGUGGGAGGAUCACUUGGGCCCAGGAGUUUGAGGCUGCAGUGAGCUAUGGUGGCACCACUGCACUGAAGCCUGGGAAACAGAGAGAGACCCUGUCCCUAAAAAAUAAAAAAUAAAAAAAUAUAUACUUAUGUAUUGCUUGUGUUAUUGGGCUGAAGAUCUGGGAAACUCUGGCGUCAUCCCUUCGUGAUCCAUUUAUCUACCAACUCACUGAUAAAUAUCCAACACCUGCCAGGUAUCUCACACUUGAAACAGGUAACAUGAUACAUAAUUCUUAAAGUGCAGGGCUACAGAACCCUAAUUCUAAUAGCCUACCAGGUAUUUUUUUCAGUAAAGACCUGCAAGAGAGCAUCUACAAAUUCUCCUCUUUAACCACACAUUUGGAAUCCUUGACUGAAAACUCAUUAGCUUUUUCCAAAGGCAAGCUGUAUUAUAACUAAGCUGGAAAAUUUUCUCUUUAUUCAUCCAAUAGGGUUAUUUUGAAAGACUCCAGCUGGGGCUGGGCACGGUGGCUCACGCCUGUAAUCCCAGCACUUUGGGAGGCCGAGGCAGGUGGAUUACCUGAGGUCAGGAGUUCUAGACCAGCCUGGUCAACACAGUGAAACCCCAUCUCUACUAAAAAUACAAAAAUUAGCUGGACGUGCGCCUGUAAUCCCAGCUACUCAGGAGGCUGAGGCAGGCGAAUCGCUUGAGCCCAGGAGGCCGAGGUUGCAGUGAGCCAAGAUCACGCCACUGCACUCCAGCCUGGGCAGUAAAGCAAGACUGCAUCUCAAAAACAAAACAAAAAAAAAAAAAAAAAGAAAGAAAGACUCCAGGUAGACUUAGACAUAAUUCUAACCUUAGAUAUAUUAUAGACCCAGCUUGGUUAUUAGUAUUGAAAAUGCUCUUAAAACCACCGUGUCAUAUAUAUUUCACACAAGAAGAAAUAAAUUGAGUAAACAUGUGGAAAAAUGUUAUGUUCACCUGUUAAUAAGCAAAAAUAAAAAAUAAAACAACUCAUUAAAUUAGCAGACUUUGAAAAAUAUUGAAAAUGGCUACUAAUAUUGAAGAGACCUUGAAAUUACUGCCUGCAACACUGCUAACGGCAGCACAGAUUCGAGAGUAUUAGCAAUGUUUAUUAAAAGUCACAAAAUACUAGUCUCUGAAACAAAAAUCUCAUGACUGAGAUUGGCUUUUAGUAAAUAGUUGCCAUGAAGAAAAACAGUUCUUUGGGCAAAGCUUUAAUGAGUGCAUUAUUUAUAAUAACAAACUUUAGAAACAACCUAAAUAUAAAAAAAAAGUGUAACAAAUAAACUGUGGCACAACCAUUCAAUGGAACGUUAAACACAAUUUUCAAUUAUUUUAUAAAGAAACUGUAAUAACAUAAAAAAUGAAAAGCAAUGAGUAAUUUUAAAAAUCUUCACUCAACUGGGAAUGUUAUUUUUAUAGUGUAAAAGAUUAGUAAAUUUUUUUUUUUUUGAGACAGAUUCUUGCUCUGUUGCCCAGGCUGGAGUGAGUGGCAUGAUCUCGGCUCACUGUAACCUCUGCCUCCUGGGUUCAAG
rnacentral:lncRNA from 1 species